rnacentral:rRNA from 1 species
UGGGGAAUAUUGCGCAAUGGGGGCAACCCUGACGCAGCAACGCCGCGUGAGUGAUGAAGGUCUUCGGAUCGUAAAGCUCUGUCGUUAGGAAAGAUGGUUUGGUUGGCUAACAUCCAACUAAGCUGACGGUACCUAAAAAGGAAGCACCGGCUAACUCUGUGCCAGCAGCCGCGGUAAUACAGAGGGUGCAAGCGUUGUUCGGAAUCAUUGGGCGUAAAGGGCGCGUAGGCGGUCAGGUAAGUCGAAUGUGAAAGCCCAGGGCUCAACCUUGGAAGUGCAUCCGAAACUACUUGACUCGAAUCUCGGAGAGGGUGGUGGAAUUCCCAGUGUAGAGGUGAAAUUCGUAGAUAUUGGGAGGAACACCGGUGGCGAAGGCGACCGCCUGGACGAAGAUUGACGCUGAGGCGCGAGAGCGUGGGGAGCAAACAGGAUUAGAUACCCCCGUAGUCC